ACUGAGAAUUUCUGUUUAUUUUCUGAAUAAAUACACAAAGGCAAAUAAGGGGAAAGGAAAAUUCUCAAUCCUAGGUUCUAUAAUCAAUUGAAUAAACUCCAAAUUGAUUCCUGAUUUUUUACCUAAAAAAAAAAUUGAUUCCUGAUUUUUUUUUUCUCAACUAAUCAGAAACAUACAUAAAUAUAUGGAGAGAAUAAUUGGAGAGAAAUAUAAGCUUGGGCGCAAGAUCGGUGGCGGUUCGUUCGGAGUAAUAUAUCUCGCUACUCAUAUCGACACGGGUGAAAUUGUUGCGAUUAAAAUCGAAAGUAAGCAGACAAAACAUCCACAAUUAAUGUAUGAGGCGAAGUUGUAUAAUAUUCUGCAGGGCGGAAGUGGCAUUGCUAAUAUUAAAUGGCAUGGGGCAGAUGGAGAUGACAAUGUCCUUGUCCUUGACCUUCUUGGUCCUAGCCUUGAAGAUCUUUUCGUUUACUGUGGAACAAAGUUUUCUCUAAAAACAGUUCUCAUGUUGGCUGACCAGAUGAUUACGAGAAUAGAAUAUGUGCAUUCCAAAGGGUUUCUACAUAGAGAUGUCAAACCAGAUAACUUCCUAAUGGGUCUUGGAAGAAAAGCAAAUCAGGUGUAUAUUAUUGACUUUGGACUUGCCAAAAGAUACCGCGAUCCGACCACAAACCGCCACAUCCCUUACAGGGAAAAGAAAAAUUUGACUGGAACUGCUCGAUAUGCAAGCUGUAAUACUCAUUUGGGCAUUGAACAAAGUCGACGGGAUGAUUUAGAGGCUCUUGGUUAUGUUCUUUUGUACUUCUUGAGAGGAAGCCUUCCAUGGCAGGGUCUAAAAGCUGCUACAAAGAAGCAAAAGUAUGAUAAAAUAUGUGACAAAAAGGUGUCAACACCUGUUGAGGUUUUAUGCAAGUCUUAUCCUGUGGAGUUUGCAUCUUAUCUCCAUUACUGCCACUCAUUAACCUUUGAUCAACGGCCUGAUUAUGGAUUCUUGAAGCGUAUAUUCCGAGAUUUAUUUACUCGUGAAGGUUUUGUAUUUGACUAUGUAUUUGAUUGGACUAUUAUGAAGUAUCAACAAUCACAGAGGUCAAAGACGAAUCUACAGCUACAUCAUCCGGUGUCAGCUUCUGGGUUGACCAGCACUAAAGAAUUGCCAGUGGGUUUAGAUAAGCUUCAAGCAGACAGAGGAACAAGUGAUCUGAGACAACCUAAUGGUCACAUAUCUUCUCUUUCCGGAGCUGUACGCGAUCUUAGUGCUAGUACUAUGGCAGAGAAACUAACUAUAAGCAAGGAACCACACCCCUCAUCUUCAUUUUCUCUGGCUAAUGCAUUCAAAAGAAAUAUUCCAAAACCAGGAGAGCCAAAUGAAACAGGAAAACAUGGACAUAGACACAAUAGUAAAGCUGGCCCAUCAAGCAGCUGGAUGCCAUCAUCACGCGACCUUUCUUCUGCCAAGUAAAGUGAAGUGGUAUUUGAUGGACAGCACUUAAGGCGCCAAAUGAUUUGCUCCUGUUGUGAAGUCACAUUUCUUGAAUCCUGUACAAGAUUGCUAAUUUAUUUCUUAAGGUACCGAAGUUCUUCAGAGUUUGAAUCAUGUAAGAUGGGAUUGAGAUUUUGGUAUGUGAUCAAUAUAACACCUGUGAAGCUGCUGCUUCUGAAUGCCGAAUAUAUAGCUUCUAAGGACUUCAUUCAAGGAUGGAAAGUUUUAUACUUGGUGUUUACAGGGAUCUUGGCUUCAUAUGGAAAGGAUGGAUUAGAAUUGGCGUCAUCUUGCACAGAGAAUAAUAAUGUGAUGAUCUUGAGCUGACUUCUAAGUAGCUGGUCUGCUUGGUCAAUUAAGAGAUUGAUGACAUUUCCUUGAGCCUGGAGGAUCAAACAAAUUUCUUUUUCGAAUCUUUCGGUGUUUUGGCUGGUUGUGGGUCAAUAUAGAAGCUGAAGCUGAAUGACUUUGCUCAAAUUUGAAUGGGUUGUGUCCUUUUCUAUGUUCUGUUCAGUAAAUGAAUGGAAGGUUAAUUGGAUACUCCGCGCAAAAGUAGGAAAGCCAGUAGGAAAGAAAAUGGAGGGGGGGGGGGUUGGGGCUGCUGCUGCUUCCAUACUUGACACGGACUUAUUUGCGCACAAGAAUUCUAACUUAUUGCCCAAAAGGUUACUAGGUACAUUUUUCUCUUUAAGGUUUCUUACAUGACCUGAAAUUUGUUGAAAGGAGGGAAGAGGAUUUAAAUGCGAUAGCAGUGGCGCUAUUAAAUUGAUUUCGUAUAUGGGCACAAAAGUAUAGAUUGGGGUGUUGAACUGGGGACUCGUAUUCGAAAAGUAGAGGAAAGCAGGUUCACCUAUUGGUUGAGUACUUUCACCAGUUAGUUGGCAGGACCUGAUGACGAAUCUAUCAUUGUUUUUAAGGCUUGUGGACCAUUUACAGUUUAGAGAAGCAAGUCUGGAGUAUCUCUGAAGUCCUUUGAGAGGGAAUUAGGCUUCCUGUUUUGCCUGCAUGUAUGUGGAGUCACCUGUUUUGAAUCCAUUGAGGACCUCGGCAGAUUUUCUUUCAUAUGGGGGUAUUUAGUGCUGCUGGUUUUUAUCCGGAAAUGGUGAAUUCCUUUUGAUUCUAAUCAUGAAGAACUGAAGGACUUUCACCUUUAUGAGAGAAUUGACCCCGGGAGGUUUUUGAUACUGCCUUCAGUUUGCCCAUGUUCUAACUAUUGUUUUUGGUUCUCCUCUGCUUUGUGCAGUUGUUCCUGACUAACAUCUCCUUGAAUGUUGGAUGAAAUGUCCUUAUGAGAGCGAGAAGUUGUAUAUAGCUUUACCCCAAAAAAAAAAAAAAAAAAAAAAACACACACA